UUGAGAGAAGUUGGCCAGAGAAACAAAGGUCUUUUACGUUAUACUUUCUCAUCAA
rnacentral:rRNA from 1 species